AUGAAAUGGAUCUAUAUUUCACAUGCUUAAAUGUUAGAGUGCCUCUUUCCUAUCUAAUGAGCAGCUUGCUAAUUUGAAAAGGGAAUAAGGAUUUGCCAAAUUAUUACCUUAUAAAAAGGUUUCAGAUUAUUUUGGAGAUAAUUUUGCAGAAAAACUUUAGCAAGUUAGAAUUCGUAGAGCUAAUCCUAAAUAGUUGGGAUAAGAUUUGAUAAGUAUGGUCAUAACAAGGGGUUCGAUCUUGAGUUUUUUUUACCCUCAAACAGGGUUUGCAUCAAGAAAUCUCAACUUGUUUGACACAAGCCAAGUUCGUAGUUAUUGUCCUAACUCAAACCAAAUAGCUUGACCAUUGGCCUCCAAUUCAAAUCUUUUGGUUAGGCUUAACAUCCAAUUUUCAAGUGAUAACAAUAAAGCAUCCUCUAAAAUAUACCCAAAAUGGUUGUAAACCAUAACCGAUCAUUAGAACAGAGGCUAUACACUUAGGCAAUGGAUAAUAU
rnacentral:lncRNA from 1 species